UAUCAGCAGGUGACUCUCCUCUCCAAGAUCACAAGAAUGCAACUCUGCUGAAAGAAGGAAGUGAGAGAAAACCUUGAAAACACAUACACUAAAGCCUGAGAACUUCACAAAUCAGGUCAACAUGAUAAACACAGGAUAAAAACAACCACCUAAAGUCUGAAUCAAUUCCUAGAUAUUCUUCCAUGUGGCUGGAACCUAUCAUUAAAAUCCAGACCCGCUGCCCAAGUCCCUUGGAUCCUGUAUGAUGGUUAUGCCUGCCACCUUUACCAUCCAUGAGGCCUGAGCCACCUUCACAUCUCACGUGUCCUUCUGCAGAUCUGAUAUGCAUGUGCACAGGAAUUUUGGCUUUUUACCUCAUGGCAAAACACAGCUUCCCACCGCUGGCACACCUCAGCCAGGCCCUGGGGCUGCACCCAUGGAUUCAGUGGCUCCUGUCUAGGCUCUCAGCUGGGCUGAGGGGGUGUUGGUGCUAUAACGGCCAUGCUGGAGCUCCUGGUGGCGCACAGGCCAUGCCACAGCUCCUGGUGGCGCACAGGCCAUGCCACAGCUCCUGGUGGCACACAGGCCAUGCCACAGCUCCUGAGCCUGCUGGGACACCUACAGUGGGACCUGGCGCUUCAUCCCCAUGAGCCGUGCGGCAGCUGUGCCUCAGCAGCCAUGUACCGAGGGCAGACAGCACUCAAGAACAAAUGAAAAAAAGAAGGAAAUUCAAAGUACUAAGUGAAAAAAAAGAAAAACAAAACCAAACUUUCAAACCAUUACAAUAUUCUUACUGCUGUGCGUGGGGCUGCUCCGGAGCUGCCUCUGCUUCGCCUUGGGGUGGAGUGAGCGUUACAACAGGGCCCUCACAGAAAGAGCGGGAGCCCUGAGGGACACCCUCGGCUCUCCCGAUCUCCUUCCUCUGCACAGCCCUGGCUUCUCCAGGCUUUCACCACGCUGCUGCCUUCUGGAUCAUGACAGGUCCUUCCUCUUCAAGUUAACUUUGUUUCAGAUAAGAAGAAAAGUAUUGCUGUGAAUGGCAAGGAGAUGAGACCUACUGUCAGCAGAAAUCCAAGUUUUUUAUUUCUAGACAACUGGGAAAAUAUGCGCAAUACUGGAAGCUACCCUGCUGGGAUGGCAGAGGGGAUCCACCACAGACACUGUAUAUGGAGUCCCUGGGUUUUCUGGAAGCUGAAAUGCUGACUGUGAAGACAAUAGAAUGUGCUGGGAGAGAGAGCAAGACUCUGGGGCAGCCCAACACAAAAGAGUAGACAGUACCCGGAGAUGAAACAGAUUUCCAAUUCUGCAUAUUUACAAAUUCCAUUUGCACCCUCGUUUGGGAUAAUUCUGUGGCACUCCAAGGACAAUUUCUUUUUGUGAAAAAAGUGCUGUGGAAUUACAUCAGAUGUAGCCUUGCUUAUUUUUUCCUAUUAUUGUCAACACAACAUGUGCCAACUCUUUUGGGCUGUCAACUCUCAUCUCUUACAUCAAGGAAACUGAAUCAUGUACCUUGGCAUAAAAAAAUUAACAGAGCUUGUAUGAAUAUAUUUUGAUAACGUCCUUGAGAUUCCUGAAGAUACAAAGAAGCAGGAACAGGGCACUGGAACAACCGUUCAGGCCAAAAGCAGCAGAGAAUACUGACAAGUCUGACAGUGAGUGCUUCCCUUUGAGGUAAGAUACAAUUUGCUUUAUUUUUAUAGCAAAAAUGUCGGAAGAAUUCGACCAAACUUGACAAAGCAGUGAUUUCUGACUGUUCUGACAUCCAGACAUGGCAAGGUAGUUGCAAGUCUGGUCAAAGGUAUUUAAGCUUUCACAAUGUUUGGUGACAUAUUAACAAUAUUUGA